UGGUGGAGUGAUUUGUCUGGUUAAUUCCGUUAACGAACGAGACCUCGACCUGCUAAAUAGUUCAACGAAUUCUUCGGAAUUCGUCUGUGACUUCUUAGAGGGACUAUCGGUGGGUAGCCGAUGGAAGUUCGAGGCAAUAACA
rnacentral:rRNA from 1 species